AGAGUUUGAUCAUGGCUCAGGAUGAACGCUGGCGGCGUGCUUAACACAUGCAAGUCGAACGAAGCGCUUAAAUGGAUUUCUUCGGAUUGAAGUUUUUGUGACUGAGUGGCGGACGGGUGAGUAACGCGUGGGUAACCUGCCUCAUACAGGGGGAUAACAGUUAGAAAUGACUGCUAAUACCGCAUAAGCGCACAGUGCUGCAUGGCACAGUGUGAAAAACUCCGGUGGUAUGAGAUGGACCCGCGUCUGAUUAGCUAGUUGGUGGGGGUAACGGCCUACCAAGGCGACGAUCAGUAGCCGGCCUGAGAGGGUGAACGGCCACAUUGGGACUGAGACACGGCCCAAACUCCUACGGGAGGCAGCAGUGGGGAAUAUUGCACAAUGGGGGAAACCCUGAUGCAGCGACGCCGCGUGAGCGAAGAAGUAUUUCGGUGUGUAAACUUCGGAAGUAUGGGAAGAAUAAAUGACAGUACCAUAUCUAAGCCCCGGCUAACUCUGUGCCAGCCGCCGCGGUAAUUC
rnacentral:rRNA from 1 species